UCGAGGAUCAUUCGCAAUGCGCGAAAGCGUGACGAUGCGACGCUGCGUGGAGGACGAAGGCCUUCGGGUCGUAAACUCCUGUCAUUCGGGAUCAAUGCUACGAGAACUAACACUUUUCGUGGAGGGAUAGUACCGGAAGAGGAAGUCACGGCUAACUCUGUGCCAGCAGCCGCGGUAAUACAGAGGUGGCAAGCGUUGUUCGGAUUUACUGGGCGUAAAGGGUGCGUAGGCGGUUUUGCGUGUCGGGUGUGAAAUUCUGCUGCUCAAUGGCAGAGCUGCGUCCGAAACUACAGAACUUGAGUGCAGGAGAGGAAAGCGGAAUUCUUGGUGUAGCGGUGGAAUGCGUUGAUAUCAAGAAGAACACCGGUGGCGAAGGCGGCUUUCUGGAAUGCAACUGACGCUGAGGCACGAAAGUUGGGGGAGCAAACAGG
rnacentral:rRNA from 1 species